rnacentral:lncRNA from 1 species
GAUUAGGUAAGGAAGUUGCCAUAGGUUAACUAACCAUAUAAAAUUAUAAAUCCAAAGACUAAAGAAUCACAAUGUUUUUGAAAGUCAUCUCAGCCUGCAACAGUAUUCUCUUUAUUAACUCCUGAGGUGGUGCAUCAGUGAGGGCUAGAGAGGAGAAUAGAUAGAGAUGAGAAGCCGAGGGCCAUCACCAGUGGUGCCGUCUGUAAUGGUGGGGGUUUUAGGGUUUGUGAUCUUUGGUCCUACCCUACUAUCCCUCUUGGAAUAUGUUUUGCUACCAUUUCAAACAUGGGAAGAAGGCAGUGGCACCUUUAUGGUGUUGCUACUACUGCUUUCAAUGCUGGUGCUUGUACACUUGCUUUCUAGUUCCUUUCCAACUCUUCGAUUUUCGUCUUCUCCGACAUUUCAGCAGAGCAGCAGUUCUGGAUUUGAUUCUGAUGGGUUUGGUUUUGGAUCAUUGCUUCUUAUUUUGCUCUUCUUAGUUCUAUAUCAUCUUAUGUGAGAUCUCGUGGUCGUCAGAAUGUUGCUGCCUGAUCAAGAAGAAACUUGUGGUGUUUCUGCAGUAAGUUUCAUGGUUAUUUGCAAAAAAAAAAAAAAAAAAUUUGAUUUCCUUAUUAUGUGGGAUGUCGUGAAGAAUGUGUAAAUAAUUAGAUGGAAACUGACAUUUCAAAAAGGAGAUAAUAUGUUCACUGAACUGAAAAGUAGCACGAAUUUAAUUGCGGCACUGGCUACGCAGUUAGACGUAUUUCCAUAGUAUAAUGAAUCAUUAUGUUGUACAGGAACUAUGUGAAGAGUAAUCAGCAUCUAAUUCAUCAUACGUGUCCCGCUGUCCAUGACAUAGUCUAGACGUCGAGAUUUCUCUCUUGAUUUGAACUUUUAUUAAAGAAAACAACUUGAUCGUAACAAGUCAUAUCCGAUAUAGAAAAAUUUACUCGCUUGGAGUAGCAAUGUAACAUGCAUGACAUGCUUUAUUGAUUUUUCUGGUUUAUAUCAUACCUUUUUUCAUGCAGAAAUUCCACCACCAUCAGCUAUUAAAAAAUCCAGUACCGAAUUAUUGAAUUUGAAGAUCAUGAUCCUGUUGCAUGCUAGAUGAUCAAACACAGUCGUUUUCAUUAAUUUGACAAAAUCUAUGGUUCCCAGUUAGUCUCUUCAUCUCUUUCAUUUGCUCAUCACUCCCUCAUAAUAAAUAAAUAAUAGUUGGUCGUGAUUGACCCUGAAGCUAACUUCCACCAUAUUUAUUUGACAAGGUCUUAGUACUCCUACUAGUGUACAUAGGUUCUUGCUGUAUGUACCUCUCAAUCAAUCAGUGUAAG